AUUAGUUUGCUUGCAUGUCAGCUUAUGACCAAACAAAAUGUUUAUGUUUGUAUAUACAGUUUAUAUAAAUUUUCUAAAUAAUUCAUGUAAAUUCCUGUGAAGUUUCCAACUUGGAAUAUUUCCAAAAUUCCCGAGAUGAAGUUCCCAUGGAAAUUUUCUGGAAAUGUACGGGAAAUUUUCCGCCCCUUUGCAACUGUAGUCAUAAACGUUGACGGUUUUUGCUCAGGAGCUGUAUGAGUCCAGUCAGUUUGCUGCUGGAUCUGGAGGAGAACGAGGUUGAAGAUCUGGCUCAGGUGUGGUAUUUGGGAUGUUGUGUGAAGCUCAGGACACUUUCACUGGAAGGAAACCCUAUGUGCACCCGUCCCGCUCUAGGAGCCUCUGAGAUGCAUGAAGGGUUUACGAACAGACAUUGAGAGCGAUGAGGCUCAGCUUCUCUGUGCUCGAACAGACUAAUGGUCUAGAGAGUUAACGAUGUCUCCAUAUAGCCCAUUAUAUCACAAGGACUUGUUUUUGAGCACUUAAAUGUAAUGCUGCCCCACCUCAUCCAUUACACAAAUGACACAAUAAUACAUUUGAUGUUAGAGAACUGAAGUGGACAAGAGAAAUGAUUGAUAUGAAGCCCUUUGCUGGCAGAUACAGACACAGAUAAAUACAAACAAGCAGCUUUUGAAGAUGCUUUGAGCAGCGCUCCAUGUGUUUAAGAAGCAGUCUCUCCAUCAGAAGAGAGCUCUGUCAGACCCACGAGUCUCUCCAGACAGCGCCAGACCUCUCUCUUCCUGCAGCGGAUCAAGACCAGGGUCCUCCGGCUCCGACAUCACCGUCCUGAACCACGAGGCAGUGAUCUGACCAACGGUAAACUCCUGCUGCACACUCUUCAUGUGUUGGUCAAGUUCUCUGUGUGAUGAGGGUCCAACACAGCGAUGAUGAUGAUGAC
ensembl:lncRNA